UAGGGAAUCUUCGGCAAUGGGGGGAACCCUGACCGAGCAACGCCGCGUGAGUGAAGAAGGUUUUCGGAUCGUAAAGCUCUGUUGUUAAGGAAGAACGAGUGUGAGAAUGGAAAGUUCAUACUGUGACGGUACUUAACCAGAAAGGGACGGCUAACUACGUGCCAGCAGCCGCGGUAAUACGUAGGUCCCGAGCGUUGUCCGGAUUUAUUGGGCGUAAAGCGAGCGCAGGCGGUUAGAAAAGUCUGAAGUGAAAGGCAGUGGCUCAACCAUUGUAGGCUUUGGAAACUGUUUAACUUGAGUGCAGAAGGGGAGAGUGGAAUUCCAUGUGUAGCGGUGAAAUGCGUAGAUAUAUGGAGGAACACCGGUGGCGAAAGCGGCUCUCUGGUCUGUAACUGACGCUGAGGCUCGAAAGCGUGGGGAGCGAACAGGAUUAGAUACCCUGGUAGUCCACGCCGUAACGAUGAGUGCUAGGUGUUGGGUCCUUUCCGGGGCUCAGUGCCGCAGCUAACGCAUUAAGCACUCCGCCUGGGGAGUACGACCGCAAGGUU
rnacentral:rRNA from 1 species